rnacentral:rRNA from 1 species
UGGGGGAUAUUGCACAAUGGGCGAAAGCCUGAUGCAGCGACGCCGCGUGGGGGAUGAAGGCCUUCGGGUUGUAAACUUCUUUUGCUCUGAACAAGGCGCACCAUGGGGUGUGUUGAGUGUAGGGGUUGAUUAGCGCCGGCUAACUACGUGCCAGCAGCCGCGGUAAUACGUAGGGCGCGAGCGUUGUCCGGAAUUAUUGGGCGUAAAGGGCUUGUAGGUGGCUGGUUGCGUCUGUCGUGAAAGCUCAUGGCUUAACUGUGGGUUUGCGGUGGGUACGGGCUGGCUUGAGAGCAGUAGGGGAGGCUGGAAUUCCUGGUGUAGCGGUGGAAUGCGCAGAUAUCAGGAGGAAUACCGGUGGCGAAGGCGGGUCUCUGGGCUGUUACUGACACUGAGGAGCGAAAGCAUGGGGAGCGAACAGG